GCAAUUGCAAUUGGCCCAAAGCAAAAUCACCAAAACCUAAACUACAUUCUGAUCUCUUCGGCCGCCAAUCCCACCCCCACUUUCCCAAUUCUUUCUUCAACCAUGGUUAGACUAAAAAAUGCGAGAACGACAGAGAAGAAGAGUGAGAGAGAACCCCAUAACUUCGCUAUUCUUGAGCAGAAGAGGCAGAUUUGUCAAGUUAGAGCAGCAAUGACAAGUUAAGACUAAAGCUAAGGUGCAGUUAAGUCGGUGCUACUUAGGGAAGAGAGAAAGGAGAAGACGAUGCUACUUUGUGUCUCAAGCAAGAUGGUGUUGUAGAAGACUUGCGUAUCGUGUUCUUAGCUACAUUGUAACAAUUCUUAUAUGUAUCUAUUUUGGAAUCUAAAAUAUUUGAAAUUUUAGCUGCAGGAUAAAAUUCUUGUGACCAAUUAUUUUGAAGCAAAUUCUUCAAUUAUAGCAAUAGAAAUUUAGAAUUCGGGGCUA